CUGUGUGCUGGUACCACAUUGAUCGUUCUGCUUAGUCAAAGGCAUAACAGGAUGAGGAGACACUGACGCCAGCCCCAGGAAAUUCACAACUACAGGUUGAAUUUACAACUACAGGUUGAAUUUGCCACUUCAAGAUUCAACGUGCACAACUGUUCACGACUGGAGGACCAAUGCUUAUUUGUAAAGAUCAUUUUACCUCAUCCUGCAAUCAAAGAGAAGGGAAUUUUUGUUUCCUUUUCAAUCCACUCACAUAUCUUUAUUGUCCUUUACUGAGUGCUGUCUCAACAUCAACCUUUCCCGAAAUGUCUGAUGUAGGUUGUGAAAAGCUCACCGUGUGUCAGGCAAGGUGGCCUGUGAAAAUAACCAGGAAGAUGUAGCAAAUGGACUGUCUGCUGCAAUUUACAAGGAUGCAAUUAAGGAGAUUAUAGAACCUGCCCAAGAUCACACACACGCACAGUAAGUUAGGAUGCUGACAAGAUGGACUGAGAGUAGCGCUUUAUGCUCCAAGUUGAGAUAUUACACAGUCUCUCUGGCGACCUGUUACUGUGUUUCCAUCUUUAAUAUUAUACCCAUUUCUUUAUUCCAAAUUUUAACUCAUAUAAAUUCUUUACAUCGUAUGUACUGAGGAUAACUAUACACAAAAUCUAAAAUACACACUAAACAUUCACAUACGACACGUAAAUGCAUAAUUCAAUUAAAGACAAAUUUGGCAAACUUGAUGAAUCUGGUACUGGCCCUGAUCCACCCACGUCAGCCAGCCUUCACCGUUUCCAUGAGUGCAGACCCCGUCUCCAGUCCUUUACCCUGUGUGUCUUUACUUGGAAGCAUUCCUUUUUGGCUACAGCAUUCUACCUAAGCGCCUCCCAGGAGCAGUCCUCUAGCGUGCAUCUUCAGAGCUGAUGGAUGAACAGCCUGACCCCUUUACUUCUCGGACUGUGGAGAGUGUGUCUGAGGUACACAGUCUUUGUCACAUGCCUCAGAACCCCCUUACUCUGGGCUCAUUCACCCACUAUUGCUUCCUAUUCUUCUCUAUCUAAUUCACCCCUUCCCUUG